UCUCCAUUUUGUCACUUCAAACUACUCCACAGUAAACAGCAACAGGGUCUUUAAAAAGUUCUAAAAAUCCGAAUAUACAGGAAUGAACUGCAUGCUGUUUCUAGAGCUGUUAGCUCCUCCUAUCUGACGAGACGACGUCGCUGCCCGGCUUCAGCUCUGCCUGUGGGCGGACCCGAGCAGAGUUGCUGCAGAGAAUGAGGAAGAGGUUGAGGAAGAGUUUCAUCAUGUGCAGAAUCAUAAACAACUCAGAGACCUGCUGUAUUUCAACAAGUGAUGUCACAGAUCAGAGAACUGAGUGCUGGGUGUGAGGAGGAAGCGUCUGUGGUCUGUAAUCUGAACCGGGCCGUAUGGGAGUUUCUCGGACGGGCUGGAGCGGACAUCCUGGCACACCGAGUUCACCAAGCGUAAGAACAAAAACCCUGUAUCUCCAUCAGCCAGCAGCACCCUCACAGCCAGCUCUGCGGUGGGGAAACAGCGGACUGACCAGUUUACCCACUGCUUCCUCUUUUAGCCAGAACACCAAACACACACGUCUGUUUUUAUAGCAAUUAUAACAUAACA